CCAAAGAUCUCUGAGAAAUGGUUUCGACGAAUUCUGGGAAGGUCAGACAUUUCUUCACAGCCGCCGCCGGCGUUCUCACCGCUGUUAUCGCGUUUCUCCGCUCUCGAAAUGGUUCGUCCCUCUUCACGGUCCUCUCUUCUUGUCGUUUCCUCCUCGGAAGCUGCUCCAUUCGGCGACGCCACUGUAUUUGCGUGGAAACGGCGUCGUCUUGAUGAAUAUCGAGGCCUUAAACCUGCAAUUGCAUCGAAUUCGGAGCAGUACGAAGUUUCAGAGACAGCUAGGAUCCGGGUCGGUGUCGGUGGUGGAGCCGGACGCGGUGAAUGUGGUUCGCGUCGAGUCAAAUGAGGAAGAUAGAGGCAGAGGAAGUGGCGGGAUUUUGGGAAGUUUCGUAAAGCUGCCGAAUUCGAUAUCAAUGGGACGACUAAUCUCCGGUCCAGUGGUUUCAUGUUAGAUGGGUACAUGGCCAGGAAGAUGAAGACCAGUUCAGGGGUUGGUUCAUACUUUGAAGUUUGAUCCUCUCCCACAAGACAAGGGAAAUCGCAAAGCAUCUUUCGCUUCCACCGGUUAAACUGCAUUGUAGUAUGCUCGCAGAGGACGUCAUCAAGGCAGCGAUGAAAGACUACAAGGAGAAGCGUGCCCAAUCAAUCGAAGGGCGGUGCAAGCGGCAAAGCCUCGGCUGAGGCUCCUUGAUUCCCACUACUAAUGCAGAUGACGGCAGGAAAUACUUGAGAACUCCUGUUCAUAAUACGCCCGGCAGAAUACAUGAAGAGGAGAUCAAUGCCCUAUUUUCUAAGUGAUAUUUACUAGGUUUCAAAGUUGUAGCAGGAAAAAAAAGUUACAUUCAUAGUUAAUGUAAAAUAUCGGUGGUGUUUUGGCAAGUUCAGGAACAAUCCACAAUCUCAUUCUGAGUUCUCUCACAAGAUUAAAGACAGAUUGACAGUCUGUUCAAGUU